rnacentral:lncRNA from 1 species
GAUGUGCCGGCUGCUGUGACUGGCAGUGCUCUGGGCGCGCAAGGGUAGCGCAGUACUCCUGGUCAAGACACUGCAGCACAACCAUGGGCCACGGCCGUAGGCGCAACGAUUGGCUGCACUAUGGCGGACAGGGAUUCUCAAUCGACGAGACGCCGGCGAGCAUUGGCUUGGUGGGGCUGGCGGAGAGUGAUGGGGAUGCCGGAGUGGACGUGAAGACGGACAUUGGUUGUUUAUUUACUGAAUUUGGUUCACUUUUGGAUAAGCCAUGCAUCAGCUAUACAUGUAUGUGUGCUAUAAAUCAGCACUAAAACCAUUGGAAAGGGCGGGAGCUUACCUGGCACCACACAGCUAGGCGGCGCGCCAUGGGCGCGCCCCAACCGCUAGUAAUAACCAUACUUAGCUUCAAAAUGACCUAUUUUACAGAUAUAAGUUGCAUCAUAAUAAUCUUCUUCUAGUCUUCUUCUUCUAACUUUCUUCUUUCCCAUUUUACAGAUUUGCUUAAGAUCACGGAAGCUUGGGUUGAUGGAGUGCUUGUAUUUAGUUUUUGUUUUGACCUUGUGAAACUUGCUACCUAUGGAUGAAACGUGUAAUAUUGAUGAAACUAUGUAUAUGUACGGAUGAAACUUGCUACUAUUGGUAACAUGUAUUGGAUAUAUGUGUUCAUGAUUAUUGGUAAUAUGUGUUGAAUAUGCUAUAUUGGUUAUAUAAAUAUAUUUGUGUUUGAUUUUCUGUGAAAAUGAAUUGAUAUAAGAAAAAACAAAAUUAAAUGGGG